UACGUAGGGGGCUAGCGUUGUCCGGAAUCAUUGGGCGUAAAGCGCGUGUAGGCGGUCCGGUAAGUCCGCUGUGAAAGUCGGGGGCUCAACCCUCGAAUGCCGGUGGAUACUGUCGGGCUAGAAUGCGGAAGAGGCGAGUGGAAUUCCUGGUGUAGCGGUGAAAUGCGCAGAUAUCAGGAGGAACACCAAUGGCGAAGGCAGCUCGCUGGGACGUGACUGACGCUGAGACGCGAAAGCGUGGGGAGCAAACAGG
rnacentral:rRNA from 1 species